CAGAGCCGUGGCUCGAGUCGUCAGUGUCGUCUUGGUCCGUGGAUCAGUUCUGCUGCUUUCCGGUAACGGCGGCGGUGAGACGGCAGUGAGUCUACCUCCCGGCUGUAGAUCUUGUUUUGUUGAGAGCGGCGAGCAGGCGAACCACUAUAUUUUUAGGGUUAGGAGCACUCCGCUCCGGCGAACAUGGUGUUCUCGAUGCAGCCGGUCAACAGGUUCGGAUCUGGUCCUGGGUGUGGUUGUUCGUCCGUGUUUUGGGUGGAGAUUUUCUAAAGAUCUGCUGCCCUUGGUCGGGCCCCGAACCAUAAUAGAAGGUCAGCAAUGGAGAAAUCAAUCCGAAGGUUUGCCGGCGCACCAUCAGCAAUCUGGCCGGCGGGGUUCCCCUGUGCGCGGACAAAUUCGCCCGGUAGUAAUCAUGUCUAACUCCGGCAGUUGCGACGUAGUUGGAGCCGGUGUAGAAGUUACAACACAAGACCCGGAGCACUCAUCAUCUGAAAAUGAAGCACAGGCGCCUCCGACACCCACAUCCAGAAUUUCAGUUAAGCGAGCAGUAGAAGUAAUUCAGUUAUUUGAUGGUUACAAGAUGUGGUUGGUUGCAGAAAUUGGAUUUGGUUGUAUGCUAAAGCUCCCUGUGAUCCAACAACUCAACCUAAAAUUCAGUGCAUGGACAAUUAGUAAGAUUUUCUUUCUCGACAACAUUGACUUAGGGAUGUUCAACAAGAAGCAUGAUGUCCUUCAUCAGAUCAGCACCUUCGAUCAGACCAACAUUAGAAGGAUGAUAACUGUGGCAACUGACAUUGGGACGAGCGUCACAUCAUAUUCGAAUUCCAAGCUCCGACCAGAUGCGGAUGUAUGCUAUGCCCGCCGCAAGCAACCAGAAUGCACUGAGAAAAUAAAUAACCAACCAGCAGACGUCACCAAUCAAAAUCAAAGCCCUGAGCAUCACACAGAAGCAAGGUUAGGUGCAGUGCAUGCAUCGUCAUCAUCAGCAGCUCUAUCAUGGAUGUCAGGACACCACACCGUGUCCUCGAUCCAAUCGACUUUGCAAAGCACAUUCCCAGCCGAUACCCAAGUUUGGUAAUAGAUGAGAUAACUAUUCUACUGAAGGAGCAAAAUGCUAGGUGCCAGCACAAACUCAGUACUGCGCGGGCUAAUGCACAGGCCGACAUGAUCAAGUUCGGCGAUAAACUCAUGGCUGUACUUAGCAACAGGUGCAUAUGCUACACCACCAGAGGGGACAUAACGAGGACUCCUCCAGGCCCUAAAAUACCUGUUGUCAGGCUUGAUAUGUCUGGAUGCAGAAGUGACACUAACAUAAACACUGCGACUAACAGGUUGGCAGCACCUAAAUAUAAGCAGGGGCAACUUGUCGACCAAUGAGCCUGCCUAAUUGAAACGUGCCUGACCCCUCCAUGGUUGUGGCUCCAGUCGACCAUUUCGUGCCAGCUCACCUGCACGAAUCCAUUGCUUGUUGCUUGGCUGGACGAGCUCUUCGGUUCAGAUAAGAUAUCGGAUGGGGUUGGCACGGACUGGCUGCUGAAUUGCUGAUCCAUGCCAAAAUGGUUACUAAGCUCAGCACGACACUCCUUGCUCGACCUCAUGUAUCCACACAGACCAAUCUUCUAUAGAAAAAAUUAGAAAAGCAUAAGACAAAUUUAGGAACCGAUCCAUGCGCAUGAGUAACUAUAUGACUAGAAUUUACAUCUUGUUUUUGAUGAUAAAUCUUACAUCUUUAUUCAUGUACUUGUAGAACCGAUGACCAACGUUCGAUCCACCAUGAGCAAUCCAGGUGACGAUCUGCACGCCGCAGUCAGUGCAUGGAAUGAGCGGCGAAAUCUCCUUUAGGCUGACGGACGACGAUGAUGCAGACAUGGUGGAUAAGGGAUGUGGGUGGUGGCACUAGCUCCGGUGGGGAUAGGAUGCACCGGCAGACCUGGGAGGGCUUCCAGUCGAAUCACAAGAUUAUGAAGAUGACUAGCUUGUUGGGGGAAGACUGGUAGCUCCAACGGGAGGACACAAUAAAUGAAUGCGGUGACGGUGUUAGUCUAUAAUCUGGAUCGGAACGGCUCAUAUCGUUUCUCUCCAUGUGGGCCGCAUGAAGCAUGCCUGACGGUGUAAUGGAAGCUGCAUCUGUGUUGUGGGCCAUGAGCCAUAAUAAAAUAAGAAAUACAUAAAUUAUAGCUGAUCCUA